UGUUCUGUGGCUUAGUUGGUUAAAGCGACGGUCUAGCAAACACGGAGUCGUGGGUUCGAAUCCCAUCAGAUCGC
rfam:Aedes albopictus isolate Foshan contig149297, whole genome shotgun sequence.